rnacentral:rRNA from 1 species
AACGAACGCUGGCGGCGUGCCUAACACAUGCAAGUCGUGCGAGAAAAGGGGGGCAACCCCCUGAGUAAAGCGGCGCACGGGUGAGUAACACGUAGGUAAUCUACCCUCGAGUCCAGGAUA